ensembl:misc_RNA Metazoa_SRP Metazoan signal recognition particle RNA
GCUGGGCGUGGUGGCGUACUCCUGUAAUCCCAGCUACUCAGGAGGCUGAGGUGGGAGAAUUGCUUGAACCCAGGAGGUGGAGGUUGCAGUGAGCCGAUAUCACGCCAUUGCACUCCAGCCUGGGCAACAGAGCGAGACUCCAUCUCAA